GGAGGGGGCAAGCGUUAUUCGGUAUUAUUGGGCGUAAAGGGCGCGUAGGCGGCCUGGCAAGUCAAAGGUGAAAUCCCUCGGCCCAACCGAGGAACUGCCUUUGAAACUGCUUGGCUUGAGGCCGGGAGAGGGUAGUGGAAUUCCCAGUGUAGCGGUGAAAUGCGUAGAUACUGGGAGGAACACCCGUGGCGAAGGCGGCUACCUGGACCGGUUCUGACGCUGAGGCGCGAAAGCGUGGGGAGCAAACAGGAUUAGAUACCCUGGUAGUCCACGCUGUAAACGAUGGGUACUCGGUGCUGCGGGUAUCGACCCCCUGCAGUGCCUUAGCUAACGCGUUAAGUACCCCGCCUGGGGAGUACGGUCGCAAGGCUG
rnacentral:rRNA from 1 species